rnacentral:rRNA from 1 species
GACGAACGCUGGCGGCGUGCUUAACACAUGCAAGUCGAGCGGUAAGGCCCUUUUGGGGGUACACGAGCGGCGAACGGGUGAGUAACACGUGGGUGACCUGCCCUCAGCUCUGGGAUAAGCCUGGGAAACUGGGUCUAAUACUGGAUAUGACCUUUCCUCGCAUGGGGUUGGGGUGGAAAGUUUUUCGGCUGGGGAGUGGGCCCGGCCGGCCUAUCAGCUUGUUGGUGGGGUGAUGGCCUACCAAGGCGACGACGGGUAGCCGGCCUGAGAGGGCGACCGGCCACACUGGGACUGAGACACGGCCCAGACUCCUACGGGAGGCAGCAGUGGGGAAUAUUGCGCAAUGGGCGGAAGCCUGACGCAGCGACGCCGCGUGGGGGA